AUACGGAGGGGGCUAGCGUUGUUCGGAAUUACUGGGCGUAAAGCGUCCGCAGGCGGAUAAUUAAGUUAGAGGUGAAAUCCCAGGGCUCAACCCUGGAACUGCCUUUAAAACUGGUUAUCUAGAGUUAUGGAGAGGUAAGUGGAAUUCCUAGUGUAGAGGUGAAAUUCGUAGAUAUUAGGAGGAACACCAGAGGCGAAGGCGGCUUACUGGACAUAUACUGACGCUGAGGGACGAAAGUGUGGGUAGCGAACAGGAUUAGAAACCCCGGUAGUCC
rnacentral:rRNA from 1 species